UACGUAGGCAGCAAGCGUUGUUCGGAGUUACUGGGCGUAAAGGGUGUGUAGGCGGUUGUUUAAGUUUGGUGUGAAAUCUCCCGGCUCAACUGGGAGGGUGCGCCGAAUACUGAAUGACUAGAGUGUGGGAGAGGUGAGUGGAAUUCCUGGUGUAGCGGUGAAAUGCGUAGAUAUCAGGAGGAACACCGGUGGUGUAGACGGCUCACUGGACCAUAACUGACGCUGAGACACGAGAGCGUGGGUAGCAAACAGG
rnacentral:rRNA from 1 species